rnacentral:rRNA from 1 species
UACGUAGGGGGGCGAGCGUUGUCCGGAUUUACUGGGCGUAAAGCGCACGUAGGCGGCUUUGUAAGUUAGAGGUGAAAGCCCGGGGCUCAACUCCGGAAUUGCCUUUAAGACUGCAUCGCUAGAAUUGUGGAGAGGUAAGUGGAAUUCCGAGUGUAGAGGUGAAAUUCGUAGAUAUUCGGAAGAACACCAGUGGUGAAGGCGGCUCACUGGCCCGGUACUGACGCUGAGGUGCGAAAGCGUGGGGAGCAAACAGG